UACGGAGGGGGCUAGCGUUGUUCGGAAUUACUGGGCGUAAAGCGCGCGUAGGCGGCUUUGUAAGUUAGAGGUGAAAGCCCGGAGCUCAACUCCGGAACUGCCUUUAAGACUGCAUCGCUAGAAUCCAGGAGAGGUGAGUGAAAUUCCGAGUGUAGAGGUGAAAUUCGUAGAUAUUCGGAAGAACACCAGUGGCGAAGGCGGCUCACUGGACACAUAUUGACGCUGAGGUGCGAAAGCGUGGGGAGCAAACAGG
rnacentral:misc_RNA from 1 species